rnacentral:rRNA from 1 species
UGAGUAAUGCUUAGGAAUCUGCCUAUUAGUGGGGGACAACAUCUCGAAAGGGAUGCUAAUACCGCAUACGUCCUACGGGAGAAAGCAGGGGAUCACUUGUGACCUUGCGCUAAUAGAUGAGCCUAAGUCGGAUUAGCUAGUUGGUGGGGUAAAGGCCUACCAAGGCGACGAUCUGUAGCGGGUCUGAGAGGAUGAUCCGCCACACUGGGACUGAGACACGGCCCAGACUCCUACGGGAGGCAGCAGUGGGGAAUAUUGGACAAUGGGGGGAACCCUGAUCCAGCCAUGCCGCGUGUGUGAAGAAGGCCUUAUGGUUGUAAAGCACUUUAAGCGAGGAGGAGGCUCUUUUGGUUAAUACCCAAGAUGAGUGGACGUUACUCGCAGAAUAAGCACCGGCUAACUCUGUGCCAGCAGCCGCGGUAAUACAGAGGGUGCAAGCGUUAAUCGGAUUUACUGGGCGUAAAGCGCGCGUAGGCGGCCAAUUAAGUCAAAUGUGAAAUCCCCGAGCUUAACUUGGGAAUUGCAUUCGAUACUGGUUGGCUAGAGUGUGGGAGAGGAUGGUAGAAUUCCAGGUGUAGCGGUGAAAUGCGUAGAGAUCUGGAGGAAUACCGAUGGCGAAGGCAGCCAUCUGGCCUAACACUGACGCUGAGGUGCGAAAGCAUGGGGAGCAAACAGGAUUAGAUACCCUGGUAGUCCAUGCCGUAAACGAUGUCUACUAGCCGUUGGGGCCUUUGAGGCUUUAGUGGCGCAGCUAACGCGAUAAGUAGACCGCCUGGGGAGUACGGUCGCAAGACUAAAACUCAAAUGAAUUGACGGGGGCCCGCACAAGCGGUGGAGCAUGUGGUUUAAUUCGAUGCAACGCGAAGAACCUUACCUGGCCUUGACAUAGUAGAAACUUUCCAGAGAUGGAUUGGUGCCUUCGGGAAUCUACAUACAGGUGCUGCAUGGCUGUCGUCAGCUCGUGUCGUGAGAUGUUGGGUUAAGUCCCGCAACGAGCGCAACCCUUUUCCUUACUUGCCAGCAUUUCGGAUGGGAACUUUAAGGAUACUGCCAGUGACAAACUGGAGGAAGGCGGGGACGACGUCAAGUCAUCAUGGCCCUUACGGCCAGGGCUACACACGUGCUACAAUGGUCGGUACAAAGGGUUGCUACCUAGCGAUAGGAUGCUAAUCUCAAAAAGCCGAUCGUAGUC